GACGAACCGUGCGAACGUUAUUCGGAAUCACUGGGCUUAAAGCGCGUGUAGGCGGGCCAGCACGUCGGGCGCUGAAAUCCCCCGGCUCAACCGGGGAACGGGCACCGAUACGACUGGCCUGGAGGGGAGUAGGGGGACCUGGAACUUCCGGUGGAGCGGUGAAAUGCGUUGAGAUCGGAAGGAACGCCCGUGGCGAAAGCGAGGUCCUGGGCUCUUACUGACGCUGAGACGCGAAAGCCAGGGGAGCGAACGAG
rnacentral:rRNA from 1 species